GUGCUGAUUUGCAGAUUUGUUCUCUGCGGUAGGUCAUUGAAAGUUUGUUACUGUCACUGUUUACACCAGGUAUCAAGAUCCAUUUCAGAUGUUAGGAUCACAAGUGAAUGGUUUUAACUACAGCUGCACACACUCCCAUUUGAAGGUGGGCUGAGACCUGAUCACUUAGGUCACACUUGGAGGCAGUCUGGGAUGCAUUUGUCCACGUUGAUCUGGCUGUAGGCCUGAGCUAUGUUAUGGACAGCCCACUCUAUCUGUAUCCAUGGCAACAAUCACAAAGUAACACACUACUAUCAUAAUUGACAAUAACAGUCUUUGAAAUGUAUAAAUGUAUGAGAAAAACUAAAGAUAAGCAUAUGGUAACAUGCUGGGGGGUAAUCGUUCUUUUUGCUGGUUGUUAUCCACUAUAAAACAGAAAAGUAGGUAGUUGGCUCCAUGCUCAGACACGUAGAACCAAUGUUUGAAGAUUCAUCAUGCCACCAAAAACAACAUAAGAGCUUAUGCUUCUUCAGGGUGAAAACAAAUUCCCUCUAACAUGUUUUAGAUGUUUGAAUUCCGCUCUGUAACUUGUCAUCUACAGGAUUUUUUAAAAUUGUUGAUCUACCAAAGGUAUCAUGUACUUCAUUUCAAAAUAAAAGCAUGUUUUAAUAAUAUAGGAAAAAAAAAAACUUAAAUGCAAGACGGUAAACAUUUCAACUGAAAAGCGUCACAGACAAAUCUUUUUAUUUGUCAAUGUCUUCUCUAAAGAAGUUUCUAUCAUGAAGCUAGAGAUGCAGCUACAACAGAACUUUAAAUAUCAGUAGAUAUGGGUAAUGCUAUUUUAGUUUGCCAAUUGAGUUUAUUGCUAAGUUUUGCAGAAUUGUGUCACGCUUCAUUUUACGUCAACUAAUCUAACUGAUAGUAAUGUUGUUGUUUUUUUACAUUUUAACUCUUCAGCGGAUUUAAUCAGCUCCUUAACCUAUGAUCUACCAAAAGUAGCAUGUAAAAUAAAUAAAAUCACCAAAAUCAACUCUUUAGUUAUUCAAUAUCUUAGUUAGGACAGGUUUUUGUGAUGGGGCUGGUGCCUUGGGUAAAAUAAAGUUAUGAAGUAUUGCAUCACUCACGUAUAUCCUAAAUUAGGAUUGCUUUAAAAAUAGUAAUUAAAACCUAAAGGAGAAGCUCACCUUCCACCUGCCAAAUACAUUAAUGUUGGCUGUGGUAGCUGCCACUCUGAUUACCUGCUGACUCUAUUUGUGUGAUGUCUAAUAAGCUUACCUUAGACAAAAUUACUACUGCAUGUCUCAUACAUUUCACACACAAACCAGAGGAUUAAAGACUAAAACUAGAAUCCAGAAAACAGUCCUCCAAAUACCUCCACAGUCAAGCAGCUUGAGUGUCUCAGCAGUUUUGUUGUUGCUGCGGUUGUGUGAAAGGUUAAUUAGUAGAUGCGCCAGUGCGUUGCAGCGCACACAGGCGGUCCCUCAACACUUGAAAUGUUGUCAGUCCAGUCUGGAGGCAGCAGAACCCAGCACAACAGGCUGGGACAGGAGGCUGUGCAGUCAGGGGUGUUACCCAGUAUUUGAGGACUGUGCUGGGUGUGUAUGCAUUAGCCACGUGCAUUAACACCAUUUGCUCCCUCAUUCCUUUGCAACAAUCGAUGACUAUGAGCCCAGCAGGCUAGCGUGGCAGCUGGCUGUCCAAAAUAAACGGUGUGAUGCUAUUGGUUAGUUUGCAUUGCUCACAGGCUGGAUCGCCAAAAAAUCCCCCCACCACAUAAAUAUCUGUUCCAGUUAAAAUGUGAUAAUUAUGACCUUGCUGUGGGGUUUUGGUGCUAAGUCUCAUGGGAGAUUGUGUGUUUAAAAUUAGAAAAGACAUGUCCUUAGCCCUGUUUUUUUUUUUUUCACACAUUUGUAGGACUUAGAGGCUACAGCAGCAUGCACUCGAGUGAUAGGUGAAUUUAAACCCCCUUAUUUGUCUUUUAGGGUUUUUGUAGACAGUUUAAAGCAAAAGGGAGUGAGGGGGAGUGAAUCUCAAGGGUCCUGGCUUGAUCUGAACGUCAAAUGCUGGUUGGCAGCCUCCCAGAAAUGUCCCAGUUUUGUCACAUGUUGAUGAAUCAUGUUUUUGUGUCGGGAGACCCAGGUGUCUUUUCCUCACUUGUUUGCCAAGGAAGGAAACUCAAAAAGGGCAAAGGUAUAAUCACACUUUUCCUAAAUUUACUUCCCUUUCUUUGCGAGCCAGGCCAGCUUUCAGUGUGUGCAAAUCAAUUAAAAUGCCUCCGUCCUGCUGCCCUUCCUGGUAGUGUACCUCAGGUCAUCUCUUUUGAUCUGCUGAAGCACUUCCACAGGGAUUACUUUGUACUUUUGUGCUCUCAGAAAGCACAGUACAUUACACGUCUUUUGAUUUAUGUCUAAUAAUUCAGUGUUUUAACCAUACAGAGAGACUUGCACUACCAGAACCGCUUCCUUUGGUCAUCUUUCUUGCACAUCUCCUGCCCUUUCCAGCUCCUGUUCCUGUACAGUCCUCAUUGAGACUUAGAUUAGGGUGAAUAAAUCUCUCGGGGCCAUCCAUUAACCCAUUAACCUCACAUGGUGUGCUUGGCAAGAAAACACUCAAACCCACACAAAAAUAAAAAGCACCCUGCUCCAUGCAAGCACGUCUUGUUUGGAGCAGCUCAUCCAGAUAAGAAUUCCCACCCAUUACAGCUAUCAAACCGCACCGGAGCCGCUCUCGCCCGAGGCGGGAUCCAGUUUGUCAGUUAUUUUCCAGGUUGGGCAGCAUGUAGCUGAGUACAGUACAAAAUGUCCUGCUGAGUGAACAUGUGAGAUUUCUUUACAGCAUAUGACAACACUCAAAAGUGAGGAGGAGCUAAGAAUUCCCUGCACUGUAAAUCCCCAUGACAGAGUUUUAUUUUAAUGAUAUCCUCCGAGUUCCCCCACAGGCACACCCGAAAAACACUCCACAUGGGAACACAAGUUAUCACAGAGUCUCAUGCAUAAUUUAAUUUUAUGUUUGGCUCAUCCUUCUGAAGUAGUUCAACUUUUCUUACAGUCUGAUGUGACAAAUGGCUGUGCCCAUACUACAAUACCCAUGAGCCUCAGUCUUUGUUGCUAUGGGAGCCAGCGACUGCAGAAGCCAAGGCAAAUUCAGUCCUGCUUGACGCUCUGAGUGCAUGCUUAAAGCUGCACAAUAGCUGCUGAAAUUCAUUGGUAUUGGCCUUCAGUCUGUAAUCCUGAGAUUAUGUGUGCACACAACGAUGUAUAAAAAACGCUUUGAGUUGUUGGAUUGGACGUUUCUCUUUGACAUGCAUCUGGGAGUUGAUGUUACGUGCCGUGCAUUCAACCCGGUGUUUGACGUGAGAGUUUUAAUGCCAUCAGACAAUGAAGAGUGAAAAGGAAGAAAAGGCCUUCAAAAAUCUAAAAAAGGUAACAUUUAAUUCACAUGACGGCGUCACCGUUAUGAAAAACCAUAAAUCACAGCCCAGCACUUUGUUUUCAUACAGCUGCAAUGACUUCCCUGCUCACGUUUACUUGAAAUUUGGCUUGAGGUCAUACUACUCUUUGGAGAUUUAUAUCUCACAGCUCCAAGUUAUGAAUCAAUAAUAGCAAAUAUUAUCGUAUUGGGAGUUCAUUGAAGGUACAAUAAAUCACGUGAGGCUGGUGUGGGGUGUUUUAAAGUAUAUCCAAGGCGUAGAAUGAUGCAGCAUUCAUGUUUAGUACAAAAGCAGAGACCAAACCCCCUCUCUCUAAUAUACAAAUAAAAGACUUAGAAAUAAUUAUGCCAACAAUAGACAUUGAAUGCAUUUGCUAAUUUAAACUGGCUUGGGUUUAAGUUAAAUUCUAUCGUAGAAAAUUUUGCUCGGGAUGAAAAAUGAAUAAGGGCCUAUGUCCACUUACAACGUUUCUCUGCUCUGGUUGUGCCCACAUCAGUUUCAGAGUGCUUCUCAACUGUUUACUGUUGCUAGGUUACAAAAGUUGUAGUGCUGUACUUCUGUUGAUUCUGUGUUAAAUUGCUCUGUAUGCUUCAAAUUUACUUUUAUUCAAUAUAGUUUUAGAAAGAAAACAGAAAAACAACCGGCAUAAGUGAAAUCAAGUGAGGCUUACUUAGCCUAGCAACAGACUUCUGCCAUCGAUGUUGGUAAAACUGACAUCAGGAAUUUCAUUGGUCAGUGUCUGGGAUAAGCUAAAUGACAGAAAACAGCCACUGUUGAAAAUGCUGAACAAGACUGGUUUUAUGGUUUUUGAUUUGUUUUCCAGGUCUUGUUAAGGUCAACUUUGGUGCCUGUUUACACUCGAGUCUUUCAGCUUGGUAAGUUUGUGCUGAAUGCCUUCUAACAACAAAAGAGGACACUUUAUUUCUAUUCAAAUAUUUAAAUAUUCCUAAUUUGAGAAGUAUUUUUUAAAAUAAAUAGGUAAACAGACAUUUACUACUACUACUACUACUACUACUGUAUAAAAAUAACGGAUGCCAGUGCAACAAAAAAGAUGCUGUCAGUGGACACAGGCCCUGAAGUAUGUUAGGAAUAACAUAAUGGUUAAAACAAAAGUCUUUUACAAGCUAAAGACACUUAAACAGCUCAGACUGCGAUCAUGACUAUUACUGUUAAAGCCCUGUAAAUAACAAAGCCUGGGAAGUAGAGGCUGAAUGCUGUUAGGUAUUUUUUAUUAGUCUUCAUCAGGGGAAAGUAAAUAAAAGUCUGUGAGAAAUUCACAUCAGCAAUAAAAGAUAGCGGCUAUUCUGGCAGGAUGGUGAGACUUGUGCUCCCAGUGAGAGUCAUUAAAGUGAAAUUUAAAUAAUCCUCACUUGAAAACAAGGUGAAAACAAGUGUGGGGAUUAAAGAGAAGCUGGACGUGAGUGCAUGCCUUUGGGUUUGUGAGACUGUGUAAAUGACUUCUGUGACCUUGAACUUUGUGGCUCCACAAAACACAAAAAGGAGAAUCUCUUAAAUCUACAGUCUUAUUUUGAAAGGAAAAUAUACAUAUACUGGAAUAAAUAAGGCCACUGCUAGAUGGAGAUAUAUUGCAAAGUGCAUCAUUUGAGGCCAUUUCUCUGCACAGCCAUGACACAUUAAUGUUACAUUUUCCAUAAAUCCACCUCUAGAGGCUUCUCUUAUUCUGCUGAGUUUUAGGAUUUAUCCCAUUGUGUACUUAAAAAAGGCAACAUUGCAAUGUAUGCACACUCCAGGCCUGCUUAUUAUGCAAGGUUAUCAUGACGGGAUUCAUUUUUCUUCCCCC